rnacentral:rRNA from 1 species
UGGGGGAAUAUUGCACAAUGGGGGGAAACCCUGAUGCAGCAACGCCGCGUGAGUGAAGAAGUAUUUCGGUAUGUAAAGCUCUAUCAGCAGGGAAGAAAAUGACGGUACCUGACUAAGAAGCCCCGGCUAACUACGUGCCAGCAGCCGCGGUAAUACGUAGGGGGCAAGCGUUAUCCGGAUUUACUGGGUGUAAAGGGAGCGUAGACGGCGAGGCAAGUCUGAAGUGAAAAGCCCGGGGCUCAACCCCGGGACUGCUUUGGAAACUGUCUUGCUAGAGUGCUGGAGAGGUAAGUGGAAUUCCUAGUGUAGCGGUGAAAUGCGUAGAUAUUAGGAGGAACACCAGUGGCGAAGGCGGCUUACUGGACAGUAACUGACGUUGAGGCUCGAAAGCGUGGGGAGCAAACAGGAUUAGAUACCCUGGUAGU